AUCCAGCUGAUGAGCUACAAAUAAGACGAAACGCGCGUCCUGGAU
rnacentral:hammerhead_ribozyme from 1 species